GAAUAUCUUACACACGACAAAUACUACCCUCUAAAGAAGAAGAAACAAUGGCGGUGUGGAGGAAGAUCUCUGCAAUUCGCUCUUCGCGGUCGAGUUGAAUCCUGCAAAUCAAAGUACAAAACCGCAGAAGAAAUCGUCGAUCAUCUUCGCUCAAAUUACCCUGAUUACCACCGAACUAAAUAUCAAACCCUAAUUCGAUUUGUUGACGACGCUCUUCAACAUUCCAACAACACUCCCACACGGAACCAUAACCAAAACAACAAUGCCGAAGAAGAUGACCACGAGGAUGAGAAUCCAAGUGCUUCUCGAAAGAGACGUAAGGUAAUUAACGAUGAAUCUCAAGAUAGAUUGCAAAAGAUGGAAGCACUUCACAUCAAACCAAGGAUGAGUACCCAAGCUUCAUCAACUUCGUCCGGUUCUGCUUCGGGUGCAGUGUAG